rnacentral:rRNA from 1 species
AGAGUUUGAUCAUGGCUCAGGACGAACGCUGGCGGCGUGCUUAACACAUGCAAGUCGAACGGAAAGGCCCGCUUGCGGGUGCUCGAGUGGCGAACGGGUGAGUAACACGUGGGUAACCUGCCCCCUGCUUCGGGAUAACUCCGGGAAACCGGGGCUAAUACCGGAUAUUCAUUGCCUGCCGCAUGGUGGGUGGUGGAAAGUUUUUUCGGCUGGGGAUGGGCCCGCGGCCUAUCAGCUUGUUGGUGGGGUGAUGGCCUACCAAGGCUUCGACGGGUAGCCGGCCUGAGAGGGCGACCGGCCACACUGGGACUGAGACACGGCCCAGACUCCUACGGGAGGCAGCAGUGGGGAAUAUUGCGCAAUGGGCGGAAGCCUGACGCAGCGACGCCGCGUGAGGGAUGACGGCCUUCGGGUUGUAAACCUCUUUCAGCUCCGACGAAUUUGACGGUAGGAGUAGAAGAAGCACCGGCCAACUACGUGCCAGCCGCCGCGGUAAUAC